GCCCGGCGUUCCCUCCCCUUCCGUGCGCAAGUGGAGGCCGGGGUGGGGCGGGGUGGGGCGGGGCGGGGCAGGCGCAGCCUGGACUGAGUUUGCAGGGCUUUUCCCCUCACCCAACCCCUUCGAGUCCUCCGCGGGCUCCGCCCCACCCGGCCCGUGGGGGAGGUUCCGUCCCGCCGCCUUCGCCCGCGCGCUGCACUCGCGGACGAUCUCUGCUCGCCUUGGGCGCGCCAUGGCGCGCGGGGCUGCGCUGGCGCUGCGGCUCCUCGGCCUGCUCCGCCGUCUGGUGGCCGCCCCGGGCUGACUUUGACUUAGCGAUGCCUUUCCUGAUGGAGGAAACAGUGACCCAGCACCACCUAAUGCCCCCAAACCAAAGCCAGAUCCAAACCCCAACCGACCUGGUUUCACUGGGGCUGACUUUGACUUAGCAGAUGCCUUUGGUGAUGGAGGAAACAGUGACCCAGCACCACCUAAUCCCCCCAAACCAAAGCCAGAUCCAAAUCCCAACUGACCUGGUUUCACUGAUGAGAGCCUCUAACCCUAUGGGGUGGUCUCUAUGUUGUUUACCUGGCAGUGAUGUCCGUGUCAUCUGAGAAGAGGAGAUUUCAGGUGAGCCUGUUCCCACUGUUGAAUUACAAGGUAAUUCCAGUGUUCAAGUAGUGGAAAACCUAGAUUACAAAAAUAUGAUUUUGGUUUGGAUUUUAUUUUCCUUUUCUUGAUUUUACUUCAAAGAUAAAUGGAACUUCCAAAUAAUUGAAUAAGAGCUUUUAGAUGUAGACUUGAUAUGAGGAAAAGAAUCUGUGUGUUUCCCAUGGAGAAGCCAACUUGUUUUAAACAAUCAGAUUUUGACUGAAUGUUUUUCUUUACAUGUUUGUUUAAUUUUUAACACAGAAAUCUAUCAAGAUGGUCUAAAUCCUGUUGACAUUUUUAUGGUUUUUUGCUGGUUAUGUUAUUAUUGGCAUAACAAUAUUACUUGACCAUUUUCUCAUAUCAUUUAAUCAUUUGUAUCAUACGACUUUACAUUAUUAUACUACAGACUUAAUUACAUACUUUGGUUUCUUUAACUAAUCCCUAAUUCUGAAGUUAUGUUUCUUCUGAUGUUUUGGAAUUAUCAAUUACAAAGCAAAUUUGACUGCCCUUCGUGCACUUUCCUUUAUGUUUGGAGAUAUAUUUCUAGAGUGCAGGUUGUUUACAUCGAUGUGUGUGAGUACUUUUGUAGCUUCUGACAUGGUUUUGAAAUUGCCCCAGAAUUGCACCAAUUUAUUUUGAUGGCGGCGGGGUGUGCAGAUGACCCUUUCCUCACACCGUCUCCGAUAUUGGUGUUCACCAAAACAUCUUUCUCCAGUAGUGCAAAAUGUCAUGCUAACCUUGUCUUAGUUUCACGUCUUUAAUUCUGAAACUUGAAACAAAAACAAUGCAUCAGUGGGCCAUGGAGACUUCUUCUGUGUAUGGGAUACUGUGUCUUUUAUUCUUCUAUUCUGCUAUGUCCUCCCUGAUUUCUACUCAUUUUUGAAUUAUUUAUAGACAGUAAACAUUGCCCAAUAUAUUAUGAAAAUGUGUUUCCACUUUAUUGUUGCCUCUGAAAACAUUUUGAACAGAAGCUUUUAUAAGCAAGGCUUGAAUUUUUCUUUUUUAUGUUGUCUUAGGUUUGUGUGAGUUUCCACCUUUGUGUAACACAUUUUUCCUGUUAACAGAACCAUUUUAUCACUGUCUCUCUUCCUUCUUGGGAAAAAGAAAACCAUCUUUUUCUUUUCAUUUGAAUUACUUACAACGAUGAAUUGAUUUAUAGAGUGCUAAAAUAUUUGUAAAAUCGAGCAGAUUCUUCUGUGUGCCUUUUUCUCCUGGUGAUUUAUUUAAAUGGAUUUCUAAGGUGUUUUCCCGUCAGUAUCGAUUUGUUUUGGUGAGUACGAUUUUAUGUGCGCUAUUUGUCUCUCUAUUUCUGAACUGUAGCAACAUUUUUGUGCAUUCUCUCUCACUCUCCACUGAAUGAUGAACCCUUGUGAACUUCCAAUUGUUUUCUCUUCAUUUCUUAAUGUUUCUAAGAAGACCGACAUAUUAUUUGUAAGUGAUUUUAAAAUUUGUCUCCUUUUCUAUGUUUUUUCGUUGUCUUCAGAGUGCAUUCGUAUUUUCGUUGAAUUGGCUUUGCUAGAGAACACAUGAUGGCUUUAAGUAUGAGUGAAUAGAGUAGACAUUUUUUAUUCCUGACAUCAAGGUAAAAACCUAAAGAGGUUCACCUGUAAAUAAAAUAAAUUGUCUUUACAAAACCAGACACUCAUUCCAAGAAGAUCUCUCUGUUCUAGUAUACUUUUUUUUGUAAACAUACAAUAGUAUAGGUUCUCAUACUGUGAGACUUCUUAUUUCUUUAUACACAAUAUAUUUGAAAAAUCAUUGGUUUUUUAGUGAUUACUAAUGUACUGUUACAUGGUUUUGAAAAGUGUUGGAUCAAAGUUUCCUUCAUUUAAGCCUCUUUUUUCCCCCUUCCCCAUAUAAAAAGUUCAUGAUGGCCAGGAAUAGAGGUUCACACAUAUAAUCCCAGCACUUUGGGAGGCUGAGAUGGGACCAUCUUUUGAGCCCAGGAGUUCAAGACCAGCCUGGGCAACAUAGCAAAACCCCCUCUCUACAAUGAAAUGAAAAAUUAGCCAGGCAUGGUGGCACAUACCUGCUGUCCCACCUGCUUGGGAGGCUGAGGCAGGAGGAUUGCUUGAGGCCAGGAGGCGGAGCCUGCAGUGAGCUGUGGUCACACCACUGCACUCCAGCCUGGGUGACAGAGGAAGACCCUGUCUCAAAACAAACCAAAAAUGGUUCCUCGAGUUCAGUUAGGAUUUGAAAAGCUUAGAACUGGAAGGCAGCCUCUGAAAUUAUCAAGAAUGUCACAGCAGUUUGUGGAACACCCCUGGGUGGGUAGACCCACCUUUUAGACACUCUCUAGCCCAAAUCCGAUCACAGUCAUUCUUCCUCCCCUCUUAGGGUCUCCCUCACAGAAGGUGUUGGGGGCCUUGGACCAGAUGUUGAUGGGAUGGGAAUAAACAGGGGCAAAUUAUGUGCAGGCGAAGUUGGAGUUCCUGCUCUGUCCGGGAGCAGAAUUGAUUUAUGAAUUACUUUCUCUCUCUCUUUGUAUCUAUCUCUUUUUUCUCCCUCUCUUUCUCUCUCCCCCCAGCCACCUUCUGAUCUCUAAUCCAUUCAUGUGAGAGAAGAGUGAUGUGAAAAUGGUCAGCAAUUUGCUUUUUCUGAUGAGAUCCUGGUGAGAGUCAUGUUCAAUAAAGUAUUUAGUCACGUGGGGCUCCAGUGAUUUCUCUGUUUACAAGCUCAUUCCUUCCUCAUUUCUCAGAACUUUGGUGUUAACAGCCCGUUUCCUAUUUGUAGGGGCUGACUUUGACUUAGCAGAUGCCUUUCGUGAUGGAGGAAAUAACACUCAUGAUGGCAACUCUCAUUGUCACAAACAGACGACCCAGCACCUCCUAAUUGACCCAAGCUGAAGCCAAAUGCGAACCCUGAGCAGCCUGGAUUCAUCGAUUGCUGAUUUUACUUCCAAGAUUGUAUGGAACGUCUAAAACACUGAGCACAAGAUUUUCAUAUGAACUUGGUAGAGAGAAAAUGGCCUGUGCAUUCCUGUAGAGAAACUUGGGUGUUUUCGAUGUUUUUGCCCUUGAAUAUUUGUAUCAGCUAUUUUGACACAUGACAGCAUUCUCAGGGGAUGACUUUGACUUAGCAGAUGCCUUACAUGACAAAGGAAACUAUGAGCCAGCACCACUGAACCCAGCCAAACCAAAGCCAAAUCCAAACCCCAAGCAGCCUGAUUCCACCGCUCAUUGAAACAUUUUAGGGAGGAACAUUUCUGCAUUGACAACAGCUUUAAAUAUUUAAUUCGUUCUUUGAAGAAACACAAGAAUCUGUGACGCAGAAGGGAAAUGAAAAGGAAAGCUUAGUCUCCAUUUAGUUAUGUUCCUCAUAAAUAUUUCCCAGAGGCAAAGAUGUUCUCUUUCAUAUUAAAAAUACAAAUAAACACUUCACUUCUCAUUAGCCCGAGAAAAUAUUGUAGAGAUUUUCAUUAUCCAAAAAAGGCACACUUUCAAGACACAUGGAACAGAGACGGCACAUUGCCUUUGCUUCUGGCUAGCAUGUCUGGCUAUUGACCGGAUUUUAUUUUUCAAUGACUAAAAUAAUAUAUUAACUAAAUGGUAAAAUUCAUAUUCAGCAUUGGCUUGAGGGCGUCGGAGGGUUUUGGCUGGCCCAGUCAUCUCUACCAGUGAGGAAAGCAAGGAAAUAGGUCAUUUCACUCACGGACAGCUUGAAAACAGAGAUUUCAUGGAGCUUCCUCGUUCCGUCAGCCUAGAGUGGGAUUUUGGCUGUCACCCUUCAAGGAUGAAAAGGUGCAGAGGACAUUGGGCUACAGACAGGGAGCUCGUUUAAAUGAUUUAAAAGUUUUGGUCAGGCGUGGUGGCUCAUGCCUGUAAUCCCAGCACGUUGGGGCGCCGAGGCGGGUGUAUCACCUGAGGCCAGGAGUUCGAGACCAGCCUGACUAACAUGGAGAAACCCCAUCUCUACUAAAAAUACAAAAUUAGUCGGGUGUGAUGGCACAUGCCUGUAAUCCCAACUACUCUGGAGGCUGAGGCAGGAGAAUUGCUUGAGCCUGGGAGGCGGAGAUUGUGGUGAGCCGAGAUCGUGCUAUUGCACUCCAGCCUGGGCCACAAGAGCAAAACUCCGUCUCAAAAAAAAAAAAAAAAAGUUUCCAUCUGGCUGGACACAGUGGCUUAACGCCUGCAGUCCCAGCACUUUGGGAGGCUGAGGCAGGUCAAUCACUUGAGUUCAGGAGUUCAAGACCAGCCUGGCCAACAUGGAGAAACCCCAUCUGUACUAAAAAUACAAAAAUUAGCCAGGCGUGGUGGCGGGUACCUGUAAUCCCAGCUACUCUGUAGGCUGAGGCAGGAAAAUCACUUGAACCCUGGAGGCAGAGGUUGCAGUGAGCUGAGAUUGCACCACUGCACUCCAGCCUGGGCGACAGAGCAAGACUCCAUCUCAAAAAAAAAAAAAAAAAAAAGUUUCCAUCUAAGCGAGCUCUGUUGGUUCUCCCACCUCUGACCUUACGAGUUUUCUUCUUUAACCUGCACCUUGUUCUCUGAGUCACUUUGCACUUUAAGGUACAGCUACAGCUUCCCCAUCAGACUUGUUGGUCUUUUAUCAAAGGAUGAAAAAGUUCUUCCUCCUUUGGGUCUUUAACCCUGUUUCCUGGUGUAAGACAGCUUUUAUGUUUGCUACCUGCUGGAAUCAACUUGAAAUUUUCUCCCAGAAAAGUUUUGAAUUUAUCUUGUUCAAGUUACUUGUGGUCAAUAAGUUAAUAAAGAUAGGUAGACAGACAGACAAAUACAUUGAUACAGAUAGAUAGAUUCAUGAUAGAUGAUUGAUUGAUAGAUAGAUAUCACAUAGAUACAUAGAUAGAUACAUAGAUUAGACCUGAUAUAUACAGGGUGGGUGGAUAGAUAAAUGAAUAAAUAGAUAGAAAGAUAUUACAUAGAUAGAUAGAUACAUAGAUUAGACCUGAUAUAUACAGGGUGGGUGGAUAGAUAAGUGAAUAAAUGGCUAGAUACAUGACUGAUUGAUAGAUGAUAGAGAUUAGAUAGAUAUAUAGAUACAUAGAUUAGACCUGAUAGAUAUAUGGAUAUAUAUACAGGAUGGGUGGAUAGAUAAAUGAAUAAAUGGCUAGAUACAUGAUAUAUAUAGAGCCAAUAUAUACAUAGAUACAUAGACAGGGUAGGUGGAUAGAUCGAUGAAGACAUGGAUAGAUAAAUAUACACAGAGAUAGAUCAAUGAUAGAAAUGGGUAUAUAGAUAUACGAAUGAUAGAAGAUAUUUUGAGAGAGAGAUGAUUAAUAGGCAAUUGAUUGACAUAUUAGGUGAUAGUUAAAAAGUGGGUAAAAUGCAAGUCAACUGUAAGCCAAACGUCCACGUGGAAUAGCAUGGGAAGCAUUGAGAAGACACUUUUUGGUGCUACCUGUUUAAACAUUGAAAAACUGAGCUAAUACCCUCCACAGUAAGAUAGAGGGGAGGGCACUGGGAAUUUAUACCUCCCAGGAAAAAUAAAUCAUGGUAAACAGGCAGAGAUCUUUCCAGAUUCCAGUUCUUGGGGGUAAAAGGUCCCUGAGAUGCCCAGUUUGUGACAACCUGUUCUGAACUAUUCAGCUCAAGGUUUCCAUUUUUUCUCCCAGCGGAGUUGCCUCGAUUCUGAUGUGUUUGCUUCGGUGCUCUGUAUAUUGUAUUCAUCCCACUCUUCAAUUCAUAAACUCUGGAGAUUGUCCAAUUCACUGGGCAAACCAUAUGCCUAAGUCUAUCCUCUGAUGGAGGCUCAUACAUGCAAAAUCCAAUAGCAACCUGGGAAGAUUUCAGUCAAGACCCAAGAGGAGGCUGGCAUCAGGCUCUCGGUCACCCAUCUUCACAUUCAGGUUUCCUGAUGCACUUGCAACUCUUUGGGCAACCUCUGGACUCCUUGUUCCCAGGGUCCACAUUUAGUUUUAUCUUUACUGCAUUGCUUUUAUGAAAAAGAAUAAAAUUGGAUGAAAUAGAUACAGAGUAUUGGUGUCAACCUAAGUAUUGGUGUCAACAAAGAGAUGGUUUGGAUCUGGUUCCCCACCACAUCUUAGGUUGAGUUGGAAUCCCCGGUUUGGAGGUGGCGCCUGGUGGGAGGUGACUGCAUUAUGCGGGUGGUUUCCAUUGAAUGGUUUACCACUGUCCCCCAUGGUGCUGUUGUGGCGGAAGUGAGUUAUCAUCCAAUCUGGUUGUUUAAAGGGUGCAACAACUUCCCCACCCCGUCCUGCUCCUGCUGUGGCCAUGUAAGACGUGCCUGUUUCCCCUUUGCCUUCUGCCAUGAUUGUAAAUUUCGUGAGGCCUCCCCAGCCAUGCUUCCUGUACUGCCUGUGGAACCGUGAGCCAAUUUAAACCUCUUUUGCUUUAUAAAAUUACCCUGUCUCAGGUAUUUCUUUAUAGCAGUGUAAGGACUGAGUAAUAUACUCUGUAAUAGAAAAGAUGUUUAUUUGGGAGUAUAGUAGUGCCAUGAGAAUAGAUGUGCCAUAUUAAACUACGUUCAUAUUCAGGCAGGUAAAGGGGAAAAAAGGAUUUUAAAGGAAAUAAUGAAGAGGAUUCCAUAAUUCUUUUGAAAUGAUUAUCCUUGGCUAAAAAGAUCAGUAACAUGGUGACACCAGUCUGAGUUUGGACAGCCAGUUUUUGGGCAGAUGUCCUCGUGGAAGUAUUUUUUUUUUUGCAAGGGUGAGAUUUUUGCAGUCUCUUACGAUAGUUUUUGUUAUCAGGCAUAUAAGCAUAAAAACCAUUAAUAUACACUAGAGAUGCAUUGAAGAGCUUAUAAAAUUGUUAAGGUUUUCUUCUUUGGUCAGUGUCUAAAAUAUGAGUCAGAUAGUUCCUUGGUUAUCUUUGAGAUUUAUAUGGUCCCAGGUUUCUCCUGGGUGGGUAGAAAUCACUGCAGCAUGUACAAAACUGUCCUUCAUGCCAUACUUCUUCCUACCAUUAUACGAUGAAAACUAACAAAAGAGAGUUUUAUAAAAUGUUCUUCCUCUUUCUCUCUGGUACCAAUAGGAAGCACAAUUGUUUUCCCGUGGUUCUUCACAAAGGUUCUAUUGCACUAAGUUUUAAACCCUUGUGUAUACACAAUCACAUUCACAUAUACCACACAUACACGUGCAUAUACACAGUUACACACAUCCGUACAGAUACAUACAUGCACAUGUAUACACAGAUAAACACAUACAUGCACAAAUAGACACACAUUCACAUAAACAUGUAUGCAGACACACACAGAUAUACACAUAUACCUAUGCACAGAAACCAUACACCGAUAUACACAUACAUGACAUACAUGCACAGGUAUACAUACAAACAUAUACACAGAUAUGUGCAUACACAUAUACACACAUAACACAUGCAUGCACACAUAUCCACAAGCCUGCAGAUAUACACACGUACACACAGAUAUGCAUAUUCAUACAUACCAAACAUACAUUCAUACUUACACCUAUACACACACAUACACAAACACAUACAGAGAUAUACACACAUGCACACAAAUACAUACACACAUACAUACAUACACAGAUACACAUGUACAUACAUACAUACUUACACCUACACACAUACACAAACACAUAUACACAAACACACAUACACAGGGAUAUGCACAUGCACACAGAUACCCACAUACACACGUACAUACUCGCAUAGAGUUAUACACACACAGACACACACACACACACACACGUGCACACGCAACUUUGGCAUAAUGGAAAUUUGAUGAUUGGUCAUUGGAGUCAACCAUACAGCCCCUGUCAGAAACAAAGGACCAAAGUCGAAGGGGACAUGGAUGUCACAAACAUCUCAACAUCUACGGAACCACGUAACUUGGAGAAACAUGCAACUGACUAAGGACAGAAGAUUCGAGUGACUGCACCUCUGUUUUUUUUUUUUUGAGAUGGAGUUUCGCUCUUGUCACCCAGGCUGGAGUGCAAUGGCGUGAUCUCGGCUAACUGCAACCCCCGCCUCCUGGGUUCAAGCGAUUCUCCCGCUUCAGCCUCCUGAAUAGCUGGGAUUACAGGUAUGCACCACCAUGCCCAGCUAAUUUCAUAUUUUUAGUAGAGAUGGGGUUUCUCCGUGUUGGUCAGGCUGGUCUCGAACUCCCAACCUCAGGUGAUCCGCCUCCCUCGGCCUCCCAAAGUGCUGCGAUUACAUGCGUGCGCCACCGUGCCCGUCCUAACUGCAGCUCUUACUUUGGAAUUCAGGCAGCUAUGGAGCCAAGAUUCCUGGAGCCCACUGGCGUAUGGCUAAUACAUUUCCCUUCCUUUCCAUAGAAUUGGGUUGGUUUUGUUGCACUGGGUGUCUGGUAGCUCCGGAGAGAACAAAUAUAAAUGUGAAAAUGCAUACCUUGGUCAUUAGUGUUUCUCAACAAUUCUCCAUCCCACCCCACUUAACAAGGCCUCUGCUAGAACUCUGGGGUCCGUUCCAAGAGGAAAAAACAUCCCUGCCUAAAAGAAGCAAAUGGAAGAAUGUAUUCUAUGCUGCCAUGUGUGUUCUCAUCAGGCCUUAUCUAAGUUUCUCACCAGGAGAUGUUGAAAAAUAUUGCUUGAUGGACGAAGGGUAACGUACUGCAGUUGUUUAUUGAGAAAUGCCAGCCGUCAUCUCGUGCUCGUUAGCUGCUCUGAAUGCUCUUAGAAGGCACCAUUCAUGCCGCUGUAUUUGGGACUACUGAAUUGUGCCCAUUCCUUGGUGUUACGCAUGUCUCUUGUUGAUGAAGUUCUAACCACAGUGCCAUUGUGAGGCUGGAAAUGUCCUUGGGUGAAAAAGCGGCCCCUGGGUCACCUGCCCCAUGAUUCAGGUGCAUGUGAACCCCUCUAGUGCUUUACUGCCAGGGUCCAGGAGAGAGGGAAAGAAUGUCACUGUCCCAGCAUCCUCUAAUUUACUUGACAACACAAUUGUUCCAGUGUCGGAGUUUUGUUUUGUUUUGUUUUUGAGAUAGAGACUCGCUCUGUCCCUCAGACUGGAGUGCAGUGGCACGAUCUCGGCUCACUGUAACCUCUGCCUCCCGGGUUCAAGUGAUUCUCCUGCCUCAGCCUCCUGAAUAGCUGAGAUUACAGGCACCUGCCAUCAUGCCUGACUAAUUAUAUUUUUGUAGAGACGGGGCUUCACCACGUCGGCCAGGCUGGUCUUGAACCACUGACCUCAGGUGAUCCGCCUGCCUCAGCCCCCAAAAGUGCUGGGAUUACAGGCCUGAGCCACCAUGC